rnacentral:rRNA from 1 species
AUUGAACGCUGGCGGCAGGCCUAACACAUGCAAGUCUAGCGAGCGGCGGACGGGUGAGUAAUGUAUGGGAAACUGCCUGAUGGGGGGGGAUAACUACUGGAAACGGUAGCUAAUACAGCAUACCAUCAGAUGAUCCCCUAUGGGAUUAGCUAGUAGGUUGGGUAAUGGCUAACCUAGGCGACGAUCCCUAGCUGGUCUGAGAGGGUGACCAGCCACACUGGACCUGCGACACGGUCCAGACUCCUACGGGAGGCAGCAGUGGGGAAUAUUGCACAAUGGGCGCAAUCCUGAUGAAGCCAUGCCGCGUGUAUGAAGAAGGCCUUCGUGUUGUAAAGUACGUUCAGCGGGGAGGCGUUACCGACAGAAGAAGCACCGGCUAACUCCGUGCCAGCAGCCGCGGUAAUUC